rnacentral:rRNA from 1 species
UACGUAGGGUCCAAGCGUUAUCCGGAGUCACUGGGCGUAAAGCGUGCGUAGGCGGAUGUUUAAGUGCAAUGCGAAAUCCUGUGGCUCAACCAUAUGGACUGUAUUGCAUACUGGAUAUCUGGAGGAAUGCAGAGGCAAGUGGAAUUACCGGUGUAGCAGUGAAAUGCGUAGAGAUCGGCAGGAACACCCAGGGGGAAACCAGCCGACUGGGCAUCUACUGACGCUGAGGUGCGAGAGCGUGGGGAGCGAACCGG